rnacentral:rRNA from 1 species
AUUGAACGCUGGCGGCAGGCCUAACACAUGCAAGUCGAGCGGAGCGGCGGACGGGUGAGUAAUGCCUAGGGAUCUGCCUGGUAGUGGGGGAUAACGUCCGGAAACGGGCGCUAAUAUCGCAUACUAUCAGAUGAGCCUAGGUCGGAUUAGCUAGUUGGUGGGGUAAAGGCCCACCAAGGCGACGAUCCGUAGCUGGUCUGAGAGGAUGAUCGGUCACACUGGAACUGAGACACGGCCCAGACUCCUACGGGAGGCAGCAGUGGGGAAUCUUCGACAAUGGUCGAAAGCCUGAUCCAGCCAUGCCGCGUGUGUGAAGAAGGUCUUCGGAUUGUAAAGCACUUUUGGUUGGGAGGCGUUACCAACAGAAUAAGCACCGGCUAACUUCGUGCCAGCCGCCGCGGUAAUUC